UCUGCUCCUGAAGCAUGGCAAGUGUGGCUGCCCUGUCACAUGCAUGUCAGUAGGUGGCAGAGAGGAGACAGGCUAUGUCUACAUUCAGUAUUCUGAACUUUGAACAUCUGAAUGAUCAGCAGUCUAAAAUU